GGAGGAAAGCUCAGGGCCCAGGUCGGCGCAGGGAGCACGGAACCAAAGAGCGCUAGCGCCGGUUCGGCCGCCUUUCCACAAAGCCCGGGCCGAAAGGCCCCGCCGCGGAGACUCAGCGCGGAUCGCUGCUCCCUCUCGCCAUGGCGCGGGUGCUGAUCGUGGGCGCCGGGAUGACAGGAAGCUUGUGCGCUGCGCUGCUGAGGAGGCAGACGUCCGGUCCCUUGUACCUUGCUGUGUGGGACAAGGCUGAGGACUCAGGUGCAGAAGUCUACUUCAGACAUCGUGUGACACAGAUCAACCUAAGAAAUGACAAAUGGGAAGUAUCCAAACAAACAGGCUCCCCUGAGCAGUUUGAUCUUAUUGUUCUCACAAUGCCAGUUCCUCAGAUUCUGCAGCUUCAAGGUGACAUCACCAACUUAAUUAGUGAAUGCCAAAGGCAGCAACUGGAGGCUGUGAGCUACUCCUCUCGAUAUGCUCUGGGCCUCUUUUAUGAAGCUGGCACGAAGAUUGAUGUCCCUUGGGCUGGGCAGUACAUCACCAGUAAUCCCUGCAUACGCUUCGUCUCCAUUGAUAAUAAGAAGCGCAAUAUAG
rnacentral:sRNA from 1 species